GGAACCCUACCAGGGCACGCCCCAGGUGACCUGCUUCCUCCAACCAGGUCCUACCUACCAGGAGUCCAUUCAGCUAUCCGUGGACUAACCCACUGAUGAGGUCGAAGCCCUCAGGAUCCAAGUAUUCCCCCAAAGCCCCAGCUCUGCACAAGGCUGCACCAGGGACCAAGCCUUACACACUGAACCUUUGGGGGACAUCCCAGAUCCAGACCAUCACAUUCUUCAUGAAGAAAGUAAAACUCUAAGAGCUUUGCACAGCAGAGAGCAGAAUAGGAGUGUGGCUUUGGGCUAGCAAUGUGGCCUUGGGUAAGUUACUCAGCCUCUCUGGGCACAGAGGAACUCAUCUGGAAAGUGAGAAUCCGCCCCAUAGGGCUAUUUGCAGAGUCAAGUGAAAAUGGUUCUCCAGUGUGAAUGUGCAUCAGAAUCACCUAGGGAACUGGUUAAGACAGAUUUCUGGGCACUUCCCCAGAGAUUAUGAUUAGUGGGUUCAGGGAGGGCCUUUAGUGUGUCCAUUCCUAGCACUCUCCUGAUUAAUGCUGAUGCCGGUGGCCCAGCUGCUACCUCUGAGAACUACUGAGUUAGCCCAAGAGGGGAGCUCAGAACAAUGCCUGCCGAGUGGAACACUCACUAAGUGUGAUUAUGAGUCAUGAGCUUUUGAGCUGGGUUUCGAUGGAUGAAUAGGAGUUUUCUGAGUAGAGGGAAACACUCCAAGAAAAGACACCAGACAACUGACAAAGAAUGAUGUUUCAGGGGUAAAUCAAAUUUGUUGUAGCCAAAAUAGCAGGUGCCUUGUGGAGAGAGAAGGUUGAGUCAAGCUGGUGAGAGCACAUUAGAUAGUAACCUCUACAGUCAACAGGCCCAUGGUGAGUGCCGGGGGAUGCUGAGGGGUCAAGUUUGGGGAGGUUUUAAGGUGCAGCCACUGACCAGGCAGCAACUCCUGAGCUUGGAAAAUGCAGGUGGCCCUGAGCCUGAGUUUCCAGCCUCUGAGUAGUGGGAAAUGUCCCCUGCUGUGUUUCACAUCCACAGAGCAGGCACACCCACAGGGCAAUCUUAUCUACCAGAAACACUUCCAGUCACCAGAGGGAGAACGCCGUGAACGCCAUGGAAUCCUUGGAAAUCUCCCAGGAGUCAGGGCCUCUGGAACCUGGACAGAUUUAAUCACCCUGUUGCAGCUGGUCCUCAAAUGGAGAGCUUAAUCUCAUUUUUAUUUCCCGUAAAGAACAAUUUGGAAAGGCUUCAGGGAAGCACGAGUCAAGGACCCAGAGAUCCGUGGAGACCUUGCCUCUUAAAAACAGAAAUGCUAAAUGCAGGGCGCAGAAGCAGACGGUCAGUUUGAAGGUUUUCUUCCUGUCAAUCCACCCUUUGAUUGACUGAAACCAUCAAGUGUCAAAUAACUGCGUUAUCACAGGAGAACAAAGGACUUCUCGUAAGACACGCUGUUUCUAAGGGCAGCUGCCGUCAGGCUGUGCAGUGGACUUCUGCUAUCCGUCUCUGGGAGGCUGUGUGCAUAGCCUCAGCAGAGGAGUCGCCCAGGCCACGUGCAGGCCCCACUGUCCUCAGCCUCUCUGGCCCCUCUGUGUUGGGCCUUGGCGAGCAUACCAAAAAAGCAGUUAACCUCCUUCGGGGCCUGUUCGGGGAAGAGCAGCCACAGGCCAGGGAAGGGCCCACUCCUGCCAUCUGCCCUGUGAACACGGGGUGGCUCCAGGAAGGUGCAGAAGGAGGCUGUGGAAAGGAGCCGAGUGGCCAUCAGGGGACAAGCUGCAGACCCCUCCACACCCACUUCCUCACCCGUAAAGUGGGGAUGGUGACAGCCCUCCUUGUGGGGUUGUGAACAUGGAGUGGGCUAGAUCUUCAGUGUCACCCACUCGAUUGAGGCCAGCUUCAGCAACCCAGCAAGACCCUGUCUCAAAAUAACAAAUCAACUGGGCUGGGCAUGUGGCUCAGGGCAAAGCUCCUGGGUUCAGUCCCCAGUACCACACGCACGGAAUCCACUGCAGGAAAGGUGGCCUCAGGAAACUCACUUGACCCCUCUGGGUCUCAGUUUUUUCAAAAAGUGGCAGGUGGACAAAUGUGUCCUUGAGGAGCUUCCUGUUCCUGACUCUAAUUCUGCCACUGCUCCUGUCCUGCCGUGAGACAUGAAGGGGUGGCAGCAGUAGAGGCUGACUUUUGCCUCCUGUCCCCACUGACCUGGCUGCAAUUCAUGAGCUGUCAGUGCUGACCCAGGCCCUGAGAACAGCUUGUUUGCUUGCUGUUCACGGGGAGGAAGGGGAGUGGACACGGUGAGCCACCAAGGGAAGAGCUGCCCAUUGGGAGAUGGGAGCAUCUGGAUGCACCAGCCUGGGAAACAGCUUUCCCAGUGCACUAGUCAUGACAGAAAGGCUCAGAGCAGACACAGAACAAGCACGCUCCUGAAAGGCUGGGAAAAGCUGACCCAGUCCUGGCCGGCUUCCCUGCUCACUCCCGACUCCUCUUCAGAUGGGCCCUCGUGCUCCUGCAGCGUGGCCGGGAAGAGAUGGGGUCAGGGAGCACAUGGAGGUCUGGGGGGGGGUCUAGAGGGUGCUGGCCAGCGUGGGGAUGAGUCCUUCUGGCUUUGCAGCAGGGGUGAUCGCUGUGCGUGUGAACACUCAGAGAGCCUUGACCUGGACAGCACAUUUGAGAAAUGAGAAAGCAAAUAUUAGGAGGGAAAGGGAUUCACUAUAACCAGACUGGGGGGACAGGCUGGGGGAAGAAGAGCAGGCCGCAAACUCAGCUUCUCUGAACCCUAAUGCGCUGGAGCUUAAAAGUGGAGGCUACUCAUGUUAGAGUCUGUAAACAAGGCACCUCUGGAAGUCUCUUCUUGGCUGAAGCAUUGAACUGCCAGAGGGAGAACGUUCCAAGUUGUGUCUUUGUUCUAGACUGUGACCAGCCACUUGGGAGGCUGAGGGACCAAACAAGCAGAGCUGUCCACCUACAGCAAACAUGGAGCCUGAGUAACAAAAACCUUUGUUGAGGUGUGGGGCAUGUUUGUUAGUGCAGCUAACCUAGCAUAGACUGACUAACAAGCAUCCUCUGGUGAUCUGUAGACCCCGAUUGAUGCUGGGCAGGACUCUGGGAACCCCUGGACAGAUAGAUGACUUUUCAGGUGCCUCCCAAAUCUGAACAUUUUUGAUUCUGUAAGCAGUUGAUCAGCUAUUAUCUUCUGAUAAGAUGUUAAAUGGUAUCUGAUGGGCAAGACCCUCUUGGAUUUUUCUGAGGGUGUGUAUGUGGAUUGGGGGUUCAGCAAACUCUCAGGGAGCAGCUACAGGCUGGAGCGGGGAGUAAGCACGUUCUCAAGACCUCUCCCCUUUCCUUUAUCCUUUUGUUCAUAUAAAAGCUAUAGUUUUUAUAUAAAUGGAUGGGCAAUCUGCUCCAGCGGUUUUCAUCAAAGAUAAGGACGACCUCUUAAAGUCUGCUGCCCUAAUGAGUGUGUGUUAGGGUCUGUAAACAAGUCAAGAUGGCGCCUGGCAUUUUGCAGAGGGAGUGGUUUGUGAAGUAACGCCAGCGAGCCAUUAAGUGUGGAGAUUCCUUAUUGGUUGACUACUGUAUCUAGUUUAUGUUAAUUAAGAUAAGCUGUGUGUAAUGUAUAUAUACCCCUCCUGUCCUACAAUAAACGGCUCCCUCUCCUGCUGUAUCAAUGUACACAAGUUGCUCGUCACCCCCCCC
rnacentral:lncRNA from 1 species